rnacentral:rRNA from 1 species
UACAGAGGUCGCAAGCGUUGUUCGGCUUCAUUGGGCGUAAAGGGUGCGUAGGCGGCGCGGUAAGUCGGGUGUGAAAUCUCGGAGCUUAACUCCGAAACUGCAUUCGAUACUGCCGUGCUUGAGGACUGGAGAGGAGACUGGAAUUUACGGUGUAGCGGUGAAAUGCGUAGAUAUCGUAAGGAAGACCAGUGGCGAAGGCGGGUCUCUGGACAGUUCCUGACGCUGAGGCACGAAGGUCAGGGGAGCAAACGGG